UACGUAGGGGCUAGCGUUGUCCGGAAUCACUGGGCGUAAAGCGCACGUAGGCGGGUCGCUAAGUCGGGGGUGAAAUCCUGGAGCUCAACUCCAGAACUGCCUUCGAUACUGGCGAUCUUGGAGUCCGGGAGAGGUGGAGUGGAACUCCGAGUGUAGAGGUGAAAUUCGUAGAUAUUCGGAAGAACACCAGUGGCGAAGGCGGAGCUCACUGGCCCGGUAGUCGGACGCUGAG
rnacentral:rRNA from 1 species